UUGGGCUUACCUCAUUUCCACCGUGCUGCCGAAGAAGCACACGGUGUCCGUGGUCAGGUGGAUUUCAAGCACUGGGACGGAGGAGCCCCCACCGCCAUGUUUCCUCUCUGCGCUGUUGAUUCGCAUAGAGCCGUUCAUGCCAAAGUGGACUCUACAGGAGGAUUUGCAGUGUUAGUAAAGCGUAUGAAAGCAAAUACUUUUGAGAUAAUACGUACAGAGAAGCAGUUUUGGCAGAGCGGAAGCCACCACAUUGGAGUGUCAAUCAACAGUGAGCGUUAUCAUCAUCUUAGUGACGAAUCAGUGAUUCUGAUGCAGGUCGAAUAUUGGAUCUCAUUAGAUCUUGGUGCUGUGAUUUGAUUCCAGAAUCACCCAGAUUAAUGACUCAAGGAUCAAAAUCAAAAUCAUCUGGAAGCUACAGGCCCCCACAGACUCCCUGAAAACACUACAAAUUUCUGCUUCUAACGAGGACGUUUGGCGCGAGCCACGCCAGCUAACGAGUCGGCGCUGACGAGGAGGAGGACACUCGACGUGUUGCCACUCGUGCUCGCUGUGGCUACUGCCAACAUUUAUUGCACGUUAGUCGUACAAUGCUUAACAGAUGUAAUAGACCAUCAGUCAUAAAGAGAGC